rnacentral:rRNA from 1 species
CCUACGGGAGGCUGCAGUGGGGAAUAUUGCACAAUGGGGGAAACCCUGAUGCAGCGACGCCGCGUGAGCGAUGAAGUAUUUCGGUAUGUACAGCUCUAUCAGCAGGGAAGAAAAUGAAGGUAACUGACUAAGAAGCCCCGGCUAACUACGUGCCAGAAGCCGCGGUAAUACGUAGGGGGCAAGCGUUAUCCGGAUUUACUGGGGGUAAAGGGAGCGUAGACGGCUGGGCAAGCCGGAUGUGAAAGGCUCGGGCUCAACCCCAGUACUGAAUUUGGAACUGUCAUGCUAGAGUGUCGGAGAGGCAGGCGGAAUUCCUAGUGUAGCGGUGAAAUGCGUAGAUAUUAGGAGGAACACCAGUGGCGAAGGCGGCCUUCUGGACGAUGACUGACGUUGAGGCUCGAAAGCGUGGGGAGCAAACAGGAUUAGAUACCCGAGUAGUC